rnacentral:rRNA from 1 species
UACAGAGGUGGCAAGCGUUGUUCGGAAUUACUGGGCGUAAAGGGCGCGUAGGCGGCCUUCUAAGUCAGACGUGAAAUCCCCCGGCUUAACCUGGGAACUGCGUCUGAUACUGGGAGGCUUGAGUAUGGGAGAGGGAUGUAGAAUUCCUGGUGUAGCGGUGAAAUGCGUAGAUAUCAGGAGGAACACCUGCGGUGUAGACGGCUUACUGGACCAUAACUGACGCUGAGGCACGAAAGCGUGGGUAGCAAACAGG